rnacentral:rRNA from 1 species
ACCAAACUUCUGUUGCUUUGGCUGGCCCUCGGGCCGGUCAGAGGACCUUAACCCUUGAAUCUUUGAUGUCUGAGUACUAUAUAAUAGUUAAAACUUUCAACAACGGAUCUCUUGGUUCUGGCAUCGAUGAAGAACGCAGCGAAAUGCGAUAAGUAAUGUGAAUUGCAGAAUUCAGUGAAUCAUCGAAUCUUUGAACGCACAUUGCGCCCUCUGGUAUUCCGGGGGGCAUGCCUGUUCGAGCGUCAUUACAACCCUCAAGUUUUACUUGGUGUUGGGCUCGCCCCCUGUGGGCCUGCCUCAAAAGCAGUGGCGGCUCCGUCCGAUCUCAAGCGCAGUAAUGCUCGUCGCUUGUUGGUCUCGGCGGGUGCUUGCUAACAACCCCCAUCUUUAAAAUUGUUGACCUCGGAUCAGGUAGGGAUACCCGCUGAACUUAAGCAUAUCAAUAAGCGGAGGAAAAGAAACCAACAGGGAUUGCCUCAGUAACGGCGAGUGAAGCGGCAACAGCUCAAAUUUGAAAGCUGGCUCCUUCGGGGCCCGCGUUGUAAUUUGUAGAGGAUGUUUCGGGUGCGGUGCCGGUCUAAGUUCUUUGGAACAAGACGUCAUAGAGGGUGAGAAUCCCGUAUGUGACUGGUUGCCUGUGUCCAUGUGAAACUCCUUCGACGAGUCGAGUAGUUUGGGAAUGCUGCUCAAAAUGGGAGGUGUAUUUCUUCUAAAGCUAAAUACUGGCCAGAGACCGAUAGCGCACAAGUAGAGUGAUCGAAAGAUGAAAAGCACUUUGGAAAGAGAGUUAAACAGUACGUGAAAUUGUUGAAAGGGAAGCGCUUGCAAUCAGACUUGCGCGGCGUCGAUCAGCCUGGGUUCUCCCUGGUGUACUCGGCGCCGCUCAGGCCAGCAUCAGUUUCGGCGGUGGGAUAAAGGCUCAGGGAACGUGAGUUGCUUCGGUGACUGUUAUAGCCCUGGGUGCAAUGCCGCCUGCCGGG